rnacentral:lncRNA from 13 species
CAGAGAGGGAGGCUCCGUGGUGAUUUACAGGCACCUCUCCUUUUGAUCAUCUUGCUCCCCUGGAGAGAUCCCUCCUCCACACCUGGGGGCUGCAGGGGAGGCCGAGUGCAGGGGGUUUCCAGCUGGCCCAGGGCAGCAAGGUCUGGUGUCCCUGAGAUACAGGAAACUUCCCACUCCCUGGCAUGGCCUUGCUGGCACCUGGCUGCUUGUGCAUGUCACUGGCACUCCAGACUGGCCCUGCCCCCCACCUCUGGCUCUGCUCCCAUUCUUCCAGAGUCAAUACACUGUUUCACUGGCCUCCUCUUUCUGUGUAGACAGACCCAUAGGAUUUCUUCUUCCUGCCUCCCUGCCUGACAUUCCUGGACUCCACUCCAGGCGUUUGAAAGUCCUGGAUGUCCCAACAAUUUCAACUUUUUUUCUGGUUCCAGGUGAUCAAGAAGCCCAGAUUUCAGAUGCAGCAAACAGGACCCUCCAGCCCGCCCAGGUGCAAGACUCUGCUGGGCCUGGGUGAGGUGAGAUGCACCAGUGCCAGCUCCAGUCUGCCCUUGCCAAGUGCUGUUCCAAAUUGGCUCCGUGAAACCAGGACCGUGAAAUCCCGUCAGGACAGCUGGAGCUGGCAGUGUGACCUUGGGCAAGAGACAACCUCUCUGAGACCAUUUUCCCAUCUGAAAAAAAGGAAGACUAUUUGCUCCCUUGCAGAGUUGCUGAGAGCCUGAAGAAGGACAUUGCCUGUGAUGUACCUAGCACGGAGC